rnacentral:lncRNA from 1 species
CGGAUGUGUCACCUGAGGUGGAUGUGAGUAGCAUUGCCACCACCCGGGUGUACCCUCCCCACAGCCGCCUCUCCACACUAAGCUCACUUGAUUCGACUUUUGGCUUCUCAGUCACCAACGAUGUAGUGAUGUCAUCUGGUGUCACCCAUCUGUUCUCCUCUGUCAUCCCCAGCACCCAUUUUGACUCAUCUUUCUCCUUGACUGGAAAUCAAAACACUCCAUCCCUUCCAGCCGGAAACCCAAGCCUUCUCACCUCUUACAGUCUGCUCCCCUCAGCACAGUCUAAAGUUUUCUCUGACGGAACACCUCCCAGCUCUCUGGAACUCGAAUCUGGAUUGGAUUUCACAUCCAGCUUUUAUUCAACCCCACCCCUGGACUUCAGCACUCCAGCCCCUUCACUGUCAGAGGUGCUUGCUUUCCCAUCUUUGAUGUCAAGCGAUCCAUCAGCCUUCUUUUCUCAACCUUUCUCCACUGUGGCUGAGACAUUUUCACUGUCCAACUCUAUGGAUUUGCAAUCACCUCAGCUU